GUAGGGAAUAUUGCACAAUGGAGGAAACUCUGAUGCAGCGACGCCGCGUGAGUGAUGAAGGCCUUCGGGUCGUAAAGCUCUGUCGCAGGGGAAUAACACAAUGAAGGUACCCUGUAAGAAAGGAUCGGCUAACUUCGUGCCAGCAGCCGCGGUAAGACGAGGGAUCCUAGCGUUGUUCGGAAUCAUUGGGCGUAAAGCGGAUGUAGGUGGCUAUGUAAGUCAGAUGUGAAAGCCUGGGGCUCAACCCCAGAAGUGCAUUUGAUACUGCGUAGCUUGAGUGUCGGAGAGGUUACUAGAAUUGUUGGUGUAGUGGUGAAAUACGUAGAUAUCAACAGGAAUACCGGAGGCGAAGGCGGGUAACUGGCCGAACACUGACACUGAGAUCCGAAAGCGUGGGGAUCAAACAGGAUUAGAUACCAGGGUAGUCC
rnacentral:rRNA from 1 species